GGUUAAGCGACUAAGCGUACACGGUGGAUGCCCUGGCAGUCAGAGGCGAUGAAGGACGUGCUAAUCUGCGAUAAGCGUCGGUAAGGUGAUAUGAACCGUUAUAACCGGCGAUUUCCGAAUGGGGAAACCCAGUGUGAUUCGUCACACUAUCAUUAACUGAAUCCAUAGGUUAAUGAGGCGAACCGGGGGAACUGAAACAUCUAAGUACCCCGAGGAAAAGAAAUCAACCGAGAUUCCCCCAGUAGCGGCGAGCGAACGGGGAGCAGCCCAGAGCCUGAAUCAGUGUGUGUGUUAGUGGAAGCGUCUGGAAAGGCGCGCGAUACAGGGUGACAGCCCCGUACACAAAAAUGCACAUGCUGUGAGCUCGAUGAGUAGGGCGGGACACGUGGUAUCCUGUCUGAAUAUGGGGGGACCAUCCUCCAAGGCUAAAUACUCCUGACUGACCGAUAGUGAACCAGUACCGUGAGGGAAAGGCGAAAAGAACCCCGGCGAGGGGAGUGAAAAAGAACCUGAAACCGUGUACGUACAAGCAGUGGGAGCACGCUUAGGCGUGUGACUGCGUACCUUUUGUAUAAUGGGUCAGCGACUUAUAUUCUGUAGCAAGGUUAACCGAAUAGGGGAGCCGAAGGGAAACCGAGUCUUAACUGGGCGUUAAGUUGCAGGGUAUAGACCCGAAACCCGGUGAUCUAGCCAUGGGCAGGUUGAAGGUUGGGUAACACUAACUGGAGGACCGAACCGACUAAUGUUGAAAAAUUAGCGGAUGACUUGUGGCUGGGGGUGAAAGGCCAAUCAAACCGGGAGAUAGCUGGUUCUCCCCGAAAGCUAUUUAGGUAGCGCCUCGUGAAUUCAUCUCCGGGGGUAGAGCACUGUUUCGGCAAGGGGGUCAUCCCGACUUACCAACCCGAUGCAAACUGCGAAUACCGGAGAAUGUUAUCACGGGAGACACACGGCGGGUGCUAACGUCCGUCGUGAAGAGGGAAACAACCCAGACCGCCAGCUAAGGUCCCAAAGUCAUGGUUAAGUGGGAAACGAUGUGGGAAGGCCCAGACAGCCAGGAUGUUGGCUUAGAAGCAGCCAUCAUUUAAAGAAAGCGUAAUAGCUCACUGGUCGAGUCGGCCUGCGCGGAAGAUGUAACGGGGCUAAACCAUGCACCGAAGCUGCGGCAGCGACACUAUGUGUUGUUGGGUAGGGGAGCGUUCUGUAAGCCUGUGAAGGUGUACUGUGAGGUAUGCUGGAGGUAUCAGAAGUGCGAAUGCUGACAUAAGUAACGAUAAAGCGGGUGAAAAGCCCGCUCGCCGGAAGACCAAGGGUUCCUGUCCAACGUUAAUCGGGGCAGGGUGAGUCGACCCCUAAGGCGAGGCCGAAAGGCGUAGUCGAUGGGAAACAGGUUAAUAUUCCUGUACUUGGUGUUACUGCGAAGGGGGGACGGAGAAGGCUAUGUUGGCCGGGCGACGGUUGUCCCGGUUUAAGCGUGUAGGCUGGUUUUCCAGGCAAAUCCGGAAAAUCAAGGCUGAGGCGUGAUGACGAGGCACUACGGUGCUGAAGCAACAAAUGCCCUGCUUCCAGGAAAAGCCUCUAAGCAUCAGGUAACAUCAAAUCGUACCCCAAACCGACACAGGUGGUCAGGUAGAGAAUACCAAGGCGCUUGAGAGAACUCGGGUGAAGGAACUAGGCAAAAUGGUGCCGUAACUUCGGGAGAAGGCACGCUGAUAUGUAGGUGAAGUCCCUCGCGGAUGGAGCUGAAAUCAGUCGAAGAUACCAGCUGGCUGCAACUGUUUAUUAAAAACACAGCACUGUGCAAACACGAAAGUGGACGUAUACGGUGUGACGCCUGCCCGGUGCCGGAAGGUUAAUUGAUGGGGUCAGCGCAAGCGAAGCUCUUGAUCGAAGCCCCGGUAAACGGCGGCCGUAACUAUAACGGUCCUAAGGUAGCGAAAUUCCUUGUCGGGUAAGUUCCGACCUGCACGAAUGGCGUAAUGAUGGCCAGGCUGUCUCCACCCGAGACUCAGUGAAAUUGAACUCGCUGUGAAGAUGCAGUGUACCCGCGGCAAGACGGAAAGACCCCGUGAACCUUUACUAUAGCUUGACACUGAACAUUGAGCCUUGAUGUGUAGGAUAGGUGGGAGGCUUUGAAGUGUGGACGCCAGUCUGCAUGGAGCCGACCUUGAAAUACCACCCUUUAAUGUUUGAUGUUCUAACGUGGACCCGUGAUCCGGGUUGCGGACAGUGUCUGGUGGGUAGUUUGACUGGGGCGGUCUCCUCCUAAAGAGUAACGGAGGAGCACGAAGGUUGGCUAAUCCUGGUCGGACAUCAGGAGGUUAGUGCAAUGGCAUAAGCCAGCUUGACUGCGAGCGUGACGGCGCGAGCAGGUGCGAAAGCAGGUCAUAGUGAUCCGGUGGUUCUGAAUGGAAGGGCCAUCGCUCAACGGAUAAAAGGUACUCCGGGGAUAACAGGCUGAUACCGCCCAAGAGUUCAUAUCGACGGCGGUGUUUGGCACCUCGAUGUCGGCUCAUCACAUCCUGGGGCUGAAGUAGGUCCCAAGGGUAUGGCUGUUCGCCAUUUAAAGUGGUACGCGAGCUGGGUUUAGAACGUCGUGAGACAGUUCGGUCCCUAUCUGCCGUGGGCGCUGGAGAAUUGAGGGGGGCUGCUCCUAGUACGAGAGGACCGGAGUGGACGCAUCACUGGUGUUCGGGUUGUCAUGCCAAUGGCACUGCCCGGUAGCUAAAUGCGGAAGAGAUAAGUGCUGAAAGCAUCUAAGCACGAAACUUGCCCCGAGAUGAGUUCUCCCUGACUCCUUGAGAGUCCUGAAGGAACGUUGAAGACGACGACGUUGAUAGGCCGGGUGUGUAAGCGCAGCGAUGCGUUGAGCUAACCGGUACUAAUGAACCGUGAGGCUUAACCUU
rnacentral:rRNA from 1 species